GAUUGAAAUGAUACCAGUGUAUUGAAGUGACAGUUGCAGCAUUAUGUGAUAUAAAUUAUAUUUACGAAAUAAAUGUAUAUAAAACAAACCCCUUCAGGCGGCAGCGUAAUCUGACAGGAAACAUGACUCAUAGUAAGAUAUGGCAUUAUUUCCUGACAAGAUAAAAUAUGUUAAACUGCAAGAGAACAUAAUAUGAGACCCGUCUCUUUAGUAUAUUUGUGUAUUGUAUUAUCUCACUAUCAUUCUUUUUUUCUUUUCUUUUUUUUGGCUUCCUCUCCCUCCCUACCUUGUGUCUGGACACCUGUCGGCCACCUCUCCUGCCCCGUUCCCAGCAGGCCUUGCUCUGACAGCUGACCCCGUCUGGUUGUGGAGUCGCAUGGCUGCUUCCGUCCUCUCUGAGACACAUGUCCUCUCGUCCUUCCCUGUCCCCCCACAAGGCAACGUGACCGUCUCUGUCCGCCUGACUUCCCCCAUGGGGUCUACCUACUGUCUCCCUUCCCUUCUUCUGUCUGCUUUCAUUGAUGACCCUGUUAAUCCUCUUUCUCUUUCUCUAUUUUUCUUCUCUUACUUUUGCCCUUUUUACAUAUCUCGCUUCCAGCAGUAAUGUUCUUACCUUCAUCUAAUGCCUUCUUUUGACAGUAUCUCAUGCAUGUACCUGUACAUAAUUAAAAAUCAGUUGCUGUUUUUCGUUAUGCUGCCCUAGGGAGUAACAAGGCUAAAUCUGAUGAGGCACAGUAAAAAGAGCAGCCACAUGGGGGCAUUGUAUCUUGGACUGUUUUGUGCUUUGCUGCUGUGGCUUCCUGUUUCCUGUUCCUGCUUUGCUUACCUGAUGGUUAGUUUGUGUAUAACCUUAGUUUUGAAUGGAUCCUUUAUGUAGUUUUGAAGUGAUGGGUUGUUGGAUGUCACUAUGCUCACCAGGCAGCCAUUUUGUGGCGGGAAGGAGAGCAGCCCGAAGCGCAGUGGGGUUCUUUAAUGCAGCGCGGCUGUAUGAGUUUCCAGGGAGAUAUCCGCCUUCCUCUGAGCUUACCCAACACUCACUGAUGUUUCAGGCAGAUGUGGGAUGAAGAUCCAAAGGCAGGGAGAUGCGUGACAGAAGGAGAAAUGUGAAGAAACAACCUGACUCUUUAGUUGGUAACUUUUUUUCCACAGAUCACCUCAAGGCAAGAUUUUUCCUUUCUUCCUUCUCUCCACUUCCCUCUCCACCUCUAAAUGUUAAGUGAGCCACCGGGAACAAGUGGGCAAGAAAGGAAGAGAAAUCUGACUUUUUGCUUUUUGUUUUGUGAACAGUGCAGGCAUGCAUGCUUCUCAGUUGGGUUAUGAUUCAUAUUUGUAGCUAAUUUAUUUCACAGAUUCAUAACUGAAAAUCUGAAGUUGGGGAUGAUGCCUUCAUAAGCAGCUACAUGGGAAGGAACAUCACUCUGAAUGGCUUUCAGUGUAGCAUCUGGGCAUUACAUAUGCAAACACUGCACAUCAUCAUAAAGUGCGUUCUCAGCAGCACGGUUAAUCUUUUAUUAUGCAGUGCCUUACGCAUUAGCUUUUUGGCAGUGAUUUAAAUUCAUUUACUCCUCUAGAAGCAAACAAAAAGAGUUUCUACUUGAGAAGGCAAAAAACCCUGUGAAUUAAUACACUUCCUGAACAAAUCCUAGUUAUGUUUAAGAAAUACAGCUGGGUGAAGUGGACUAAAAUCAGCAGGCAUUGUGCUGGGAUGAUAUACUUAAAGUGUCUUCUGUGUUUGGCAAACUCUGGAAAACUCUCAAAGUCUAGAUUGUGCAUUGAAAACUUAAAUGUUUUUCUAACUAAUUUUUCAUGGAGAGUUACUCAUGAAAAUGGUGAUGCCGAUAUUGUAGCAAAAUUGCCCAUUCUGUUCUGUUCUUGUUUCAAAAUUAUUCGUGCUGAACAAACAAAGCAAUGGUUAUGUUGUUUUUGCGAUGACGGGUCUUUAUAUCUUUGGCUGUAACUCAAGAUUUACAAAUCCACCUUGAGCGGUUAUUGAUUUUAAAGGCCUUUAAUGUUGCCUCCGAGACAGAAAGUGACAGCCAGCAGAGUAAAAUGGCUUGAGGAGAAAUGACCGCUGAUCGAAGGAAAAAGACCUCUGAUUGCCUCUUAGUCUUCCAAUCAGCCGGCUUGAACUCAUCGCUUCUCUGACAUGAGAGCAGGGCAGCACUGUACUUGCUUCUCCAUUAGAGCAAUUCCAGAGACUUCAGUAGACGAUCAGUUCACAAAAUUCCACUUUUUUAACUUUUCUUUUUUCACAGUUCACAUAUCUUUGCACACAGAGAUGUCCUGCACAUGGCCAAUUAUACCAUGCUGCAAAGACAUGGAUUUUUUUUUUUUUUUUUAAUAAAGGGGAUAUUGCAAUGGAAUGGUUGUCAAUAACGAGAACUUGAUUUAUUCUAUUGUAUUUAACGUGUUAGUGAACACAUUUUUUAUUUUAUUUUAGGUUUUAUCGCGCUGAUUUAGUCCACCUGUUCAACAACAACAACAACAACGUUAUUUAAAAAACUUUGACAUAUGGAAAUAUGUGGUUUAGAAGAUACAUCUAUAAUUUAAGGUCGAUUUCCAUUUUGCAGACUUUCCUCCCAAGAAGAAUAGUUUGAAUUUAAACGACUGUUUAAAAUUAUUUCACAUGCGUAUAAAGGAGUUAUACAGAUAGAUCCCUUUAUGUGGGCCAUUGUUUGGAUUGGAAUAUUAGGUCAGGUUUGAAAAUGGGAGACAGAUAUUUUGAAAGUGUUCAUGCCUGUUCUUUACUCAUGAAGGUUUUAGCAUGCAAAUCUGGUCCAUGUAAUAUGCCAUUCAAAAACAAAUAAUGGAUUUCGCCAAACUAAAACUCUUUAUUUACAAUAUAUUAUGCUAAAAAUAGGUUGAAGGAAGGAAUGGCUGCCCUAAAUUUGUUCAUAAUAAUAAGAAUAUGUACGGUAUCUAUACCAUUAGAGGCACCAAAUGGCAUUGUGCAAAUAAUGACUCCAGUGUCUCUAUACAGGCUUCCCUUACUUAUCGUUUAGCCAUUGUUCAACAAACAGGUAGCCCUGUCUCUAACAUUGAACAAAAUACAGUGCCUUUAACAAAACACCAUUUGGCAAACAUUGACCUGCUGUGCCUUGAUGUACUAAUGUACUGCUCUGAUCGUCUCACGUCUCUUUUUUUCUUUUUGAAGUUAUGUUCUGAGAAUCUAAAUUGACCACUUCCAGAUUCACAUAAGAGAACUGUUAGUAUCUCAUCAAAUGUCAGGUUGCUAGGCAACAUGUCAUUUGCUGUCAUACUCCACUUGCAUGUGAAUAGGGGAGAGAGCACAUGCAGAAAUCAUUGUCUUGAAGCUCAGGAACAUCAUGCUCUUCUAUAAUGCUCUCGUAUCAUAUCUAAUACUGAAUCACUGAGAAGGUACAGAGCUUUAAAAAGUUGACUUACCUUUGAACAAAUCAAAAGUAUAUUUCCAAGAGAAACAUGGCAAGAUGUUUAGCACAUAACAUAGCAUGAUGAAUAUGACAGCAAGUGAUUAUUUGACUCCAAAUGAUUGAACUGUAAAGAAUUUGUGUUGUUGUUGCCAAAUUAACCAUGACUUUUAUGUGAACGUGAAGACUUAACAUUUCAGAAAUUGACAAAAGUAUAAAUAUUCAACAUACAUCAACAUACAUAUUAUUAUUAUUAUUAUUGUUAUUUAAUU